rnacentral:misc_RNA from 1 species
GCAUGAUAUUGCAGGUGUGCAGGGUCUAACAAAGGUCAUUUUGUUCUACUCUGCAUGAGGUGAUGAAUCUUUAUUCUUUAGUUGCUAUCAUCUCUUUUGUUUGAAAUAAUAAUAUAAAACCAUAAUUUGCUAUAUUUGCAAAGAUCUCCCCAAUCCAAAUUCGUUCUCGAACCUAGGAUGAAAGAAUUGACAGGACGGCACAUGAGAUAAAAUGCUAUGCAACUAACAGUUGAGGCUAAUCCUUUUCUCAACUCUAAUAUUGCUUCAGUUAUUGUUGAAUAAAAAAAUCUUAGGCUUUUUGGCUUCAUGAUAAGAAAGUAUUAAGAUUUUUUCCCCCUUUUUU